rnacentral:rRNA from 1 species
AUAUAUGUUAAGUGGAAAAGGAUGUGGCGUUGCCCAGACAACUAGGAUGUUGGCUUAGAAGCAGCCAUCAUUUAAAGAGUGCGUAAUAGCUCACUAGUCGAGUGACACUGCGCCGAAAAUGUACCGGGGCUAAACAUAUUACCGAAGCUGUGGAUUGUCCUUUGGACAAUGGUAGGAGAGCGUUCUAAGGGCGUUGAAGCAUGAUCGUAAGGACAUGUGGAGCGCUUAGAAGUGAGAAUGCCGGUGUGAGUAGCGAAAGACGGGUGAGAAUCCCGUCCACCGAUUGACUAAGGUUUCCAGAGGAAGGCUCGUCCGCUCUGGGUUAGUCGGGUCCUAAGCUGAGGCCGACAGGCGUAGGCGAUGGAUAACAGGUUGAUAUUCCUGUACCACCUAUAAUCGUUUUAAUCGAUGGGGGGACGCAGUAGGAUAGGCGAAGCGUGCGAUUGGAUUGCACGUCUAAGCAGUAAGGCUGAGUAUUAGGCAAAUCCGGUACUCGUUAAGGCUGAGCUGUGAUGGGGAGAAGACAUUGUGUCUUCGAGUCGUUGAUUUCACACUGCCGAGAAAAGCCUCUAGAUAGAAAAUAGGUGCCCGUACCGCAAACCGACACAGGUAGUCAAGAUGAGAAUUCUAAGGUGAGCGAGCGAACUCUCGUUAAGGAACUCGGCAAAAUGACCCCGUAACUUCGGGAGAAGGGGUGCUCUUUAGGGUUAACGCCCAGAAGAGCCGCAGUGAAUAGGCCCAAGCGACUGUUUAUCAAAAACACAGGUCUCUGCUAAACCGUAAGGUGAUGUAUAGGGGCUGACGCCUGCCCGGUGCUGGAAGGUUAAGAGGAGUGGUUAGCUUCUGCGAAGCUACGAAUCGAAGCCCCAGUAAACGGCGGCCGUAACUAUAACGGUCCUAAGGUAGCGAAAUUCCUUGUCGGGUAAGUUCCGACCCGCACGAAAGGCGUAACGAUUUGGGCACUGUCUCAACGAGAGACUCGGUGAAAUCAUAGUACCUGUGAAGAUGCAGGUUACCCGCGACAGGACGGAAAGACCCCGUGGAGCUUUACUGUAGCCUGAUAUUGAAAUUCGGCACAGCUUGUACAGGAUAGGUAGGAGCCUUUGAAACGUGAGCGCUAGCUUACGUGGAGGCGCUGGUGGGAUACUACCCUAGCUGUGUUGGCUUUCUAACCCGCACCACUUAUCGUGGUGGGAGACAGUGUCAGGCGGGCAGUUUGACUGGGGCGGUCGCCUCCUAAAAGGUAACGGAGGCGCUCAAAGGUUCCCUCAGAAUGGUUGGAAAUCAUUCAUAGAGUGUAAAGGCAUAAGGGAGCUUGACUGCGAGACCUACAAGUCGAGCAGGGUCGAAAGACGGACUUAGUGAUCCGGUGGUUCCGCAUGGAAGGGCCAUCGCUCAACGGAUAAAAGCUACCCCGGGGAUAACAGGCUUAUCUCCCCCAAGAGUUCACAUCGACGGGGAGGUUUGGCACCUCGAUGUCGGCUCAUCGC